rnacentral:rRNA from 1 species
UCGAUUCCGCUGGUUCCUGGAGCACGUCCAGUGAAUCUGUGCCCAUACAGACACAAUCCAGCACAGAAGGAUGAGGUAGAGAAGCAAGUGACCGAGAUGUUAGCACAGGGCAUCAUUCAGCCCAGCGUGAGCCCUUUCGCAUCUCCGGUCUUGCUGGUGCAGAAAAAAGACCUCUCUUGGCGAUUCUGCGUCGAUUACCGGCACUUCAAUGCGGUAACCAUCAAGAAUCGUUACCCCUUACCAGUCAUCGAGGAACUCUUGGAUGAGUUGGCAGGCUCCCAGUUGUUUACAAGCUUGGACCUACGAGCAGGCUACCAUCAGAUCCGCAUGAGGCCGGAGGAUGAGCACAAAACGGCUUUCAAGACGCAUCACGGCCAUUUCGAAUUCAAGGUGAUGCCAUAUGGUGUUACGGGGAGUCCAUCAACCUUUCAAGGAGGCAUGAACAUU